GACGAACGCCGGCGGCGUGCUUAACACAUGCAAGUCGAACGGUGAAGCGCCUUCCUUUUUGGUGGGUGUGGAUGAGUGGCGAACGGGUGAGUAACACGUGAGUAACCUGCCCCCUUCUUCUGGAUAACCGCAUGAAAGUAUGGCUAAUACGGGAUAUUCUGGGUCUGUCGCAUGAUGGGUCUGGGAAAGAUAUUGUUUCGGUGGGGGAUGGGCUCGCGGCCUAUCAGCUUGUUGGUGGGGUGAUGGCCUACCAAGGCGGUGACGGGUAGCCGGCCUGAGAGGGUGGACGGUCACACUGGGACUGAGACACGGCCCAGACUCCUACGGGAGGCAGCAGUGGGGAAUAUUGCACAAUGGGCGCAAGCCUGAUGCAGCGACGCCGCGUGAGGGAUGGAGGCCUUCGGGUUGUGAACCUCUUUCGCCAGUGAAGCAGGCCUGCCUCGUUUGUGGGUGGGUUGACGGUAGCUGGAUAAGAAGCGCCGGCUAACUACGUG
rnacentral:rRNA from 1 species